rnacentral:rRNA from 1 species
ACUUCGUUGUGAGUAGAGCGGCGGACGGGUGAGUAACGCGUAGGAAUCUACCUAGUAGUGGGGGACAACUCGAGGAAACUCGAGCUAAUACCGCAUACGCCCUAAGCGGGAAAGCGGGGGAUCUUCGGACCUCGCGCUAUUGGAUGAGCCUGCGUCGGAUUAGCUAGUUGGUGGGGUAAAGGCCCACCAAGGCGACGAUCCGUAGCUGGUCUGAGAGGAUGAUCAGCCACACUGGGACUGAGACACGGCCCAGACUCCUACGGGAGGCAGCAGUGGGGAAUAUUGCGCAAUGGGGGAAACCCUGACGCAGCCAUGCCGCGUGUGUGAAGAAGGCCUUAGGGUUGUAAAGCACUUUCAAUGGGGAGAAAAGUCUUACGGUUAAUAACUGUGAGAGUUGAUGUUACCUAUAGAAGAAGCACCGGCUAACUCCGUG